AUGACGGAAGUACCAUCAAACGAACGUGGUAAGGAACUGCCGCAGAAGAAAGCGGCCAUGUCAGACCUGCCACAGCACCACUAUCCCUCAGAAAUGAUGCCUAAAGGUCUUGCUAUCAAUGGGGUGGGUGGUAGACUUCGUCAGCUGGAAGCACUAUUUGUUGGUGGUCCGGUUCAAGGAGGACGUACCGGUCAUACUUUUUCUAUUGAAACUCUCAUCGAUGUUUUACUCGUCCUCUAUGAUGAAUGUUGUAACUCCUCUUUACGUAGAGAAAAAACUGUUUCUGAUUUCAUUGAAUUUGUGAAGCCAGUUGCUUCGUGUAUAAGGAGCCUGCAGUUAGCUAGAGAAGAUUUUGAAAUUGUCAAAGUGAUUGGACGAGGCGCAUUUGGAGAAGUUUGUGUGGUCAGGAUGAGGGGCUCAGAUAAAGUGUUUGCUAUGAAAAUAUUAAAUAAGUGGGAGAUGCUUAAACGAGCUGAAACAGCCUGCUUCAGAGAAGAACGUGAUGUAUUAGUAUACGGUGAUCGCAGGUGGAUAACCAACCUUCACUAUGCCUUUCAAGAUGAUAACAACCUGUACCUUGUGAUGGAUUAUUAUUGUGGAGGUGAUUUGCUUACAUUAUUGAGUAAAUUUGAGGAUCGUCUACCUGAAGAUAUGGCGAGGUUUUACAUAGCAGAAAUGGUAUUGGCUAUUGGAUCGAUUCACGACCUGCGAUAUGUUCAUCGUGAUAUAAAACCAGACAACGUUUUACUAGACGCAAACGGACACAUACGAUUAGCCGACUUUGGUUCGUGUUUGAGACUGUUUGAAGAUGGAACCGUUCAAAGCAACGUUGCUGUUGGUACUCCGGAUUAUAUUUCACCUGAAAUUCUUAGGGCUAUGGAAGAUGGUCAAGGGAGGUACGGCCCCGAAUGUGAUUGGUGGUCAUUAGGAGUCUGUAUGUACGAAAUGUUGUAUGGAGAAACUCCUUUCUAUGCAGAAUCUUUGGUUGAAACUUAUGGAAAAAUCAUGAACCACAAGAAUUGUUUCGACUUCCCUAUAGAAGAUGCUUAUGAUGUCUCAGAGGAGGCAAAGGAUCUAAUGAGAAAACUAAUUUGCAGUUCAGAAUUCAGAUUAGGACAAAAUGGUAUCGAUGAUUUCAAGAAACACCCAUGGUUCAAAGGUGUAAAUUGGGAAGUUUUGAGGGACAAUACAGCACCUUACAUACCAGAAGUAUCUUCUCCCACUGAUACGUCUAAUUUUGAUGUUGAUGAUACGGAUGUCCGCAGUUCUGACGCAGUCCCUCCUGCUGCAAACUCAGCAUUUGCUGCUCUACAUUUACCUUUUGUAGGAUUCAGUUUCACGCAAGGAAGCCGAAUAUCAGAUCUUGGAUCCCUUCCUGCGAUAUCUCAGAAGGAUAAAAGUAUGAAAAUGUUGGAGGAAGAAAAUGCACAGUUAACCCUUACCAUAGCGGAUUUACGUAAUCAAGUUGGUGUUGGGCAUUUUUCCCCAACGACAUCCCCUGACUCGAACAAUGCUACUAGAAAACUACAGGAUGAAAUCAAUACUCUGACUAAAAGAAAUGGUGAACUCGAAACACAGCUGAAAUCGAUGGAGAUACCGAGAGAACUGUGUACCUUGGACAAUGUUGAGUCUACCAAGAUAAGAGAGCUUGAAAAACUCGUGCGUGCCUUACGUAUGGAAAAAGAAGAGGCUGUUAAAGAUAAGCAGGAUGCUCAAGAAAAGUUGGAACUUCAGGAUAAAGAACUGAAAGAUGCCCUCACGCAGCGCAAACUUGCAAUGACUGAGUACACAGAGGUGACGGAUAAAUUAUCUGAAUUGAGGCAACAAAAGCAAAAGUUGUCAAGACAAGUUAGAGAUAAGGAGGAAGAACUCGAAAAAGCUAUGCAAAAGGUUGAUAGCCUGCGACAUGAUAUAAGAAAGGCUGAAAAGUUACGCAGGGAAUUAGAAAAUAGAGUUGAGGAAGCAAUGGCUGAGACUAGCAAAGAGAGAACUUUGAGAGAGCGAAGUGAAGAGUAUUGUAAACAAAUGCAGGAAGAGACUGAAAAGAUACGUCAACGAUCCGUAGGAAAUGAUAGUAGCGCAAACCAGGCACUCGCGACUCAAGAGAUCCAUAGGCUGAAAGCAGAGGUAGAAAAACUUGAGGUGCAAUACAACGAAAAUCUAAAUCAACAACACAGCAAAUUUACCUUAGAUAUUCGAAGUCUUCAGGAUCAGUUGCAUGAAGCUGAGAACAGAAGGGAGAUAUUGGAACAUGAGGUGCAAUCUGCCAGGGAAAAACUAGAUGCGGCAAGAUUAGAGAAUAUUACUGAUAGCGAGGAAACGAUAAACGAAUUGAGUAGAAGAUAUGAAAGAGAAAAAAUGAUGCUAGUCGAAGAGAAUAAAAAGCUAAUGCUCGAUCUUGGAGCUGUCACGGACAGCGUGGGUAGACUUCAGGGUGAAAGAAGGCAGUUGGAAGAGGAAUAUGAAGAGUUGAGGAACAAAAAAGAGGCAAUCGCGCAGUGGGAGGCGCAAAUUACAGAGAUUAUUCAAUGGGUUUCAGACGAGAAGGAUGCUAGGGGAUACCUACAAGCCUUAGCAACAAAGAUGACUGAAGAAUUAGAGUUCCUGAAACACUCCGGCGGAGUUGGAGGAGUGGUUGGUGGCUCUACAAUGACGGAUAAGAACUGGAGAAAUCGCAGAUCUCAGAAACUAGACAAAAUGGAAUUGUUGAAUCUACAGAGUUCUCUUCAAAGUGAAAUCCAAGCCAAGCAAGCUAUAUCUGAAGAACUUACCAAAACACGUUCCGACCUUAUUGCUGCACAAAAAGAGUUGAGAGACUUCAGGCAACGGCUAGAAGUGAUGUCCCAUGAUGCAAAGCGAAAAGAAAUGCAGAUAAAGGAACUUCAAGCACGUCUGGAUACUGGUGAUGGUUUCUUAGAACGUCCCACCUCCCAAAUGUCGUACCUGGAACACUUCUUAAAGGAAACAGCAGGAAGCACACGCCACGGAAGCGUGGAUAGUGUUGAAGGUGACAUAGAAGACAAUCGUGCGCCCAGUCUUACCAGCAGCAAGAGUAAUUUGUCCGAACAAAGUAUUGAUCCUACGUCCCCAUUGUCUCACGAAUUAUUGAAUAAAUCAUCCGUCUCCCAUGGGCAGCUCAGCUUACAACCAAAACCCAAAUCUCAUCAGUUUCUAGUUCGUACUUUUUCUGCCCCAACAAAAUGUAAUCAUUGUACAUCCCUAAUGGUCGGUUUGACCAGGCAAGGCGUUGUUUGCGAAGUUUGUGGCUUUGCCUGUCACAUGUCCUGCUGCGAUAAAGUCCCCUCAAUCUGCCCUGUACCUCCUGACCAAACAAAGCGACCGCUGGGAAUUGAUCCAACCAGAGGAAUUGGAACAGCUUAUGAAGGAUAUGUUAAAGUGCCAAAGAUGGGUGGUGUGAAAAAAGGCUGGGUACGACAGUUUGUUGUAGUCUGUGACUUCAAAUUAUUUCUCUAUGAUAUUUCACCGGAUCGCAAUGCUUUGCCAUCUGUAUAUGUCUCCCAAGUGUUGGACAUGCGAGACGAGGAGUUCAGUGUCAGCUCUGUGCGUGAUUCUGAUGUGAUACAUGCAACAAAAAAAGACAUUCCAUGUAUAUUUAGAAUAACAACAUCUUUAAUGGAGCCACCAGGCCUGAGGAACAUCACAUUGAUGCUAGCUGAUACGGAGAGUGAAAAGACUAAAUGGGUCGUGGCAUUGAGUGAGCUUCAUCGGAUUUUGAAGCGCAACAACCUUCCAAAUACCACGAUAUUUCGAGUAAAGGAACUGCUAGAUAAUACACUGGCACUUAUCAAGAAUGUAAUGUCAGGUACAAUAAUUGAUCCUGACCGUCUAGUCAUUGGUACCGAGGAGGGCCUAUUUUGUUUAGAUUUAGAUCGUAGUGAAAUUGCACGAGUUGGAGAGGGAAAGAAAAUAUAUCUCUUAGAAUAUGUGACAGAGGAACAGUUGAUUGUGGUUCUUAGUGGGAAACAGCGGCAUGUAAGACUCGUACCUGUACGAGCUUUAGAUGGCGAUGAAGUCGAAUGGAUUAAAGUAGCAGAGACAAAGGGCUGCAUUACGUUGACUACUGGAAUUAUGCGCCGUAAUCCACUAACUUAUUGUUUAUGUGUGGCAAUUAAAAGACAGAACUCUUCUCAAGUGAUUAUUUACGAGAUCACUCGUACAAAAACACGGCAUAAACGGAUUCGCGAAGUGAUGCUACCCUGCCAUGCCCAAACGCUCCAAGUCUUAACCGAAGGACGUCUCUGCGUCGGUUAUCCCUCGGGAUUUUCUAUCUACAGCAUUCUUGGAGAUCAUCAUCCAAUUUCACUGGUCCACCCAGAGAACACUCUUUUGGGUUUUUUAACCUACAGCGCAGUGGAUGCGCUGCGUUGCAUAGAGCUUCCUCGUGGAGAAUUUUUACUGGUUUUUCACACGCUAGCUGUUUAUGUUGACAGUCAAGGAAGAAAGAGCCGCGAUCGUGAAAUUAUGUAUCCUGCCGUCCCCAUUGCAGUGAGCUACUGCGAAGGUUAUUUACUGGUAUAUAGUGAAACGCAUGUGGAUGCGUUUGACUGCACUACCGGAGAUUGGCUGCAGACUCUUAACGUUAAGAGAGCUCGACCGUUGAAUUCAUCAGGAUCAUUGAGCUCCUGUACCAUCAACGAUAUGCCACAUGUGAUCUAUUUGAGUAAUUUGCAUCAACGGGAAUUGUUAAAUCUAGCAACAGUAGAUGCUAGUGGCAGACAGAUGACGAGACCACGGAGAAGAUUUUCUCUUCGUGAAGGUAACAGAGCAGCUCGCCCUACCGAUCGACGUUCUAAAAUGAUAUCUGCUCCAACUAAUUUCAAUCACAUUAGCCACAUGGGACCAGGCAAUGGUAUACAGAUUCAAAGACUAUUAGACUUACCAACAACAUUGGAAACAGCUGAUCAACAGCAAUAUACCGGACCACCAUCAGGAACUCAUCUUCAUGGGAGCCAACAACGGUUAUAUGGUUCUGCAAUAUCUGCACCUAACAAACCAGCUCCGUUGCCACCAAGACAUCCGCCAUCUGACACACGACGUCUGAGUUCACAUAUGACCCGCAAUUCUGGAUAUUCACCACAUAAUGGUUCUACAUCUUCUCGGAGAGGUCCAGCUCCACCCAGGCCUACCGCAACUCCUCCGUCAUUGCCACGCACGCCUGUUGACCAAGUUGACUCCGAAUCAUUACAUUUACGAUCACAUACGCCUUUGUCACUUGGCAGUAUUGCAUCAUUGCAUGACAAGGAGCACACAUCUGGUGGAAGUCCGCGACAUUCUAUAGCCUCGAACAAUAGUUCAAAUCCAUCAACACCUCCUAGCCCUGCCCAUGACCAUGGAUCCUCGUCGUACGAUUCAUAGGCAUGUAUCUACCUAAGCGAAUUUUCCAUCUGCCACCGAAAGAAUAACCCAUAUGCCGAAGUUGUUGACCGUAACCAGUCGGCACUUUUACCUAGAACGUGUGACUUCUACGGCACUUUAAAACAUUCGCGUCGCUGUCGACGUCAUUGGCCAAAUGUUA
rnacentral:misc_RNA from 1 species